rnacentral:tRNA from 2 species
AAUAAGAUGCCUGAUAAAAGGAUUAUUUUGAUAGAAUAAAUUAUGUAUAUUUUAUACUCUUAUUU